rnacentral:rRNA from 1 species
UUGCCCUAGUAACGGCGAGUGAAGCGGCAACAGCUCAAAUUUGAAAUCUGGCGUCUUUGGCGUCCGAGUUGUAAUUUGCAGAGGGCGCUUUGGCAUUGGCAGCGGUCCAAGUUCCUUGGAACAGGACGUCACAGAGGGUGAGAAUCCCGUACGUGGUCGCUAGCCUUUACCGUGUAAAGCCCCUUCGACGAGUCGAGUUGUUUGGGAAUGCAGCUCUAAAUGGGAGGUAAAUUUCUUCUAAAGCUAAAUACUGGCCAGAGACCGAUAGCGCACAAGUAGAGUGAUCGAAAGAUGAAAAGCACUUUGGAAAGAGAGUUAAAAAGCACGUGAAAUUGUUGAAAGGGAAGCGCUUGCAGCCAGACUUGCCUGUAGUUGCUCAUCCAGGUUUCUACCUGGUGCACUCUUCUAUAGGCAGGCCAGCAUCAGUUUGGGCGGUUGGAUAAAGGUCUCUGUCAUGUACCUCUCUUCGGGGAGAACUUAUAGGGGAGACGACAUGCAACCAGCCUGGACUGAGGUCCGCGCAUCUGCUAGGAUGCUGGCGUAAUGGCUGUAAGCGGCCCGUCUUGAAACACGGACCAAGGAGUCUAACAUCUAUGCGAGUGUUUGGGUGUCAAGCCCGAGCGCGUAAUGAAAGUGAACGGAGGUGGGAACCUUUCGGGGUGCACCAUCGACCGAUCCUGAUGUCUUCGGAUGGAUUUGAGUAAGAGCAUAGCUGUUGGGACCCGAAAGAUGGUGAACUAUGCUUGAAUAGGGUGAAGCCAGAGGAAACUCUGGUGGAGGCUCGCAGCGGUUCUGACGUGCAAAUCGAUCGUCAAAUUUGGGCAUAG